GGGUUGUGAGGUUAAGCGACUAAGCGUACACGGUGGAUGCCCUGGCAGUCAGAGGCGAUGAAGGACGUGCUAAUCUGCGAAAAGCGUCGGUAAGGUGAUAUGAACCGUUAUAACCGGCGAUGUCCGAAUGGGGAAACCCAGUGCAAUUCGUUGCACUAUCGUUAACUGAAUACAUAGGUUAACGAGGCGAACCGGGGGAACUGAAACAUCUAAGUACCCCGAGGAAAAGAAAUCAACCGAGAUUCCCCCAGUAGCGGCGAGCGAACGGGGAGCAGCCCAGAGUCUGAAUCAGCUUGUGUGUUAGUGGAACGGUCUGGAAAGUCCGACGGUACAGGGUGAUAGUCCCGUACACCAAAAUGCACAGGUUGUGAACUCGAAGAGUAGGGCGGGACACGUGGUAUCCUGUCUGAAUAUGGGGGACCAUCCUCCAAGGCUAAAUACUCCUGACUGACCGAUAGUGAACCAGUACCGUGAGGGAAAGGCGAAAAGAACCCCGGCGAGGGGAGUGAAAAAGAACCUGAAACCGUGUACGUACAAGCAGUGGGAGCACCUUCGGGUGUGACUGCGUACCUUUUGUAUAAUGGGUCAGCGACUUAUAUUCUGUAGCAAGGUUAACCGUAUAGGGGAGCCGCAGGGAAACCGAGUCUUAACUGGGCGUUAAGUUGCAGGGUAUAGACCCGAAACCCGGUGAUCUAGCCAUGGGCAGGUUGAAGGUUGGGUAACACUAACUGGAGGACCGAACCGACUAAUGUUGAAAAAUUAGCGGAUGACUUGUGGCUGGGGGUGAAAGGCCAAUCAAACCGGGAGAUAGCUGGUUCUCCCCGAAAGCUAUUUAGGUAGCGCCUCGUGAACUCAUCUUCGGGGGUAGAGCACUGUUUCGGCUAGGGGGUCAUCCCGACUUACCAACCCGAUGCAAACUACGAAUACCGAAGAAUGUUAUCACGGGAGACACACGGCGGGUGCUAACGUCCGUCGUGAAGAGGGAAACAACCCAGACCGCCAGCUAAGGUCCCAAAGUCAUGGUUAAGUGGGAAACGAUGUGGGAAGGCACAGACAGCCAGGAUGUUGGCUUAGAAGCAGCCAUCAUUUAAAGAAAGCGUAAUAGCUCACUGGUCGAGUCGGCCUGCGCGGAAGAUGUAACGGGGCUAAACCAUGCACCGAAGCUGCGGCAGCGACACUAUGUGUUGUUGGGUAGGGGAGCGUUCUGUAAGCCUGCGAAGGUGUGCUGUGAGGCAUGCUGGAGGUAUCAGAAGUGCGAAUGCUGACAUAAGUAACGAUAAAGCGGGUGAAAAGCCCGCUCGCCGGAAGACCAAGGGUUCCUGUCCAACGUUAAUCGGGGCAGGGUGAGUCGACCCCUAAGGCGAGGCCGAAAGGCGUAGUCGAUGGGAAACAGGUUAAUAUUCCUGUACUUGGUGUUACUGCGAAGGGGGGACGGAGAAGGCUAUGUUAGCCGGGCGACGGUUGUCCCGGUUUAAGCAUGUAGGCUGGUUAUCCAGGCAAAUCCGGAUAAUCAAGGCUGAGGUGUGAUGACGAGGCACUACGGUGCUGAAGUAACAAAUGCCCUGCUUCCAGGAAAAGCCUCUAAGCAUCAGGUAACAUCAAAUCGUACCCCAAACCGACACAGGUGGUCAGGUAGAGAAUACCAAGGCGCUUGAGAGAACUCGGGUGAAGGAACUAGGCAAAAUGGUGCCGUAACUUCGGGAGAAGGCACGCUGGUGUGUAGGUGAAGUCCCUGCGGAUGGAGCUGAGACCAGUCGAAGAUACCAGCUGGCUGCAACUGUUUAUUAAAAACACAGCACUGUGCAAACACGAAAGUGGACGUAUACGGUGUGACGCCUGCCCGGUGCCGGAAGGUUAAUUGAUGGGGUUAUCCGUAAGGAGAAGCUCUUGAUCGAAGCCCCGGUAAACGGCGGCCGUAACUAUAACGGUCCUAAGGUAGCGAAAUUCCUUGUCGGGUAAGUUCCGACCUGCACGAAUGGCGUAAUGAUGGCCAGGCUGUCUCCACCCGAGACUCAGUGAAAUUGAACUCGCUGUGAAGAUGCAGUGUACCCGCGGCAAGACGGAAAGACCCCGUGAACCUUUACUAUAGCUUGACACUGAACAUUGAGCCUUGAUGUGUAGGAUAGGUGGGAGGCUUUGAAGCGUGGACGCCAGUCUGCGUGGAGCCAACCUUGAAAUACCACCCUUUAAUGUUUGAUGUUCUAACGUUGGCCCCUGACCGGGGUUGCGGACAGUGUCUGGUGGGUAGUUUGACUGGGGCGGUCUCCUCCCAAAGCGUAACGGAGGAGCACGAAGGUUAGCUAAUCCUGGUCGGACAUCAGGAGGUUAGUGCAAUGGCAUAAGCUAGCUUGACUGCGAGCGUGACGGCGCGAGCAGGUGCGAAAGCAGGUCAUAGUGAUCCGGUGGUUCUGAAUGGAAGGGCCAUCGCUCAACGGAUAAAAGGUACUCCGGGGAUAACAGGCUGAUACCGCCCAAGAGUUCAUAUCGACGGCGGUGUUUGGCACCUCGAUGUCGGCUCAUCACAUCCUGGGGCUGAAGUAGGUCCCAAGGGUAUGGCUGUUCGCCAUUUAAAGUGGUACGCGAGCUGGGUUUAGAACGUCGUGAGACAGUUCGGUCCCUAUCUGCCGUGGGCGCUGGAGAAUUGAGGGGGCUGCUCCUAGUACGAGAGGACCGGAGUGGACGCAUCACUGGUGUUCGGGUUGUCAUGCCAAUGGCACUGCCCGGUAGCUAAAUGCGGAAGAGAUAAGUGCUGAAAGCAUCUAAGCACGAAACUUGCCCCGAGAUGAGUUCUCCCUGAGACUAUAAGUCUCCUGAAGGAACGUUAAAGACGAUGACGUUGAUAGGCCGGGUGUGUAAGCGCAGCGAUGCGUUGAGCUAACCGGUACUAAUGAACCGUGAGGCUUAACCUUACAACGCCGAAG
rnacentral:rRNA from 1 species